rnacentral:rRNA from 1 species
AGUGAACGCUGGCGGUAGGCCUAACACAUGCAAGUCGAACGGCAGCACAGUAAGAGCUUGCUCUUACGGGUGGCGAGUGGCGGACGGGUGAGGAAUACAUCGGAAUCUACUUUUUCGUGGGUGAUAACGUAGGGAAACUUACGCUAAUACCGCAUACGACCUACGGGUGAAAGCAGGGGAUCUUCGGACCUUGCGCGAUUGAAUGAGCCGAUGUCGGAUUAGCUAGUUGGCGGGGUAAAGGCCCACCAAGGCGACGAUCCGUAGCUGGUCUGAGAGGAUGAUCAGCCAGACUGGAACUGAGACACGGUACAGACUCCUACGCGAGGCAGCAGUGGGGAAUAUUAGACAAUGGGGGCAAGCCUGAUCCAGCAAUACCGCGUGGGUGAAGAAGGACUUCGGGUUGUAAAGCCCUUUUGUUGGGAGAGAAAAGCAGCAGGUUAAUACCCCGCUGUUCUGACGGUACCCAAAGAAUAAGCACCGGCUAACUUCGUG